CUUAAACUGUGCUCCAGAGAAAGUGCUGGCCAGAGCGCCAAAUCUUCCCCCCUCCCAUCAAACAUCAUUGGUGUAGUGGGGAUGCAUAUAUAAAAGAGGACAGAACAAGUAGAUAACUGAGACUUAGCAGAGACGAGAAGAUGAAGAUGAAUAUUAAACCACUAUCCACCAUAGAGAGAGCCAUCUCAUUAUCUAAAUCCAAAUUUUCAAAAUUUCAAAAAGUGAACUUACCAUUUUUCAAGAAAAAUUUGCUGAAUACUGAAGAAGUGCAGGAUGAGUGGCACAGAAAAUGUGUGUGUGACUGUGAAGAAGUGCAGAAUGAUGACAUACAGCCUGCAGAGAUUCCUUUGACUUUUGAGCAGAACCUAAAAGAGCAGCACUUUGCAGUGGCAGGGAAGCAGCUGGUAAACCGUGAGGAGCAUCUGUUUUCAGUAAAACAAGAUGGGGUGGGAUCCAGCAAGAGCCUUGUGGAGGAAGAGGAGGAUAGUGAGGAAAGUCUGAGGAAAGACUUUGAAGACCUUUUGGAGGAGGUAUGGUCAACAGUGGAGAAUUCCUUCGAGGUCCAAACAGAGAACGAGAAAGAGGCGCUAAAACAGGCAGUCCUGGUCAUACAACAAGAGGAGGAGCAGGACAGGAGAUGGGAAGGGGUAGCAGAAAAAGAGCGCCCUCCAUGGAGGCCUCGGUGCUGCAGGUGGACGCACGACUCUCUGCUUCAGAAUAUAGUUCAGCGGCGAAUGGAAGAGGCAAAGUUAGACUCAAACGCUGACAUUAAAUCUUCAAUCCAAAAGGAAAUCAUAGGCAAAGGUAAACAACUUAAGGAGGACCUGCUACACAUUGCAGAACAUGUGAGGAGCUGCUACCCAGGAGAGAAUGUGUGCCAACUGUAUGCCAAAUUAUACCAUCAAGCAUUUUGUGCCAAACUCAGGGAAAUCACUGACUAUGGACUCAGUGAUGAUGACUGCUCACAUGUGCUGCAGUGGGUGAACAUACAUUAUCCCAGUAUCAUGAGGCGUAAAGAGCUUAAAGAGGUUAUUGAAUAUGAACAACUUAAAGCACUCCUACCUGAAAACAUGCUUGAACCACUGGAGGAGCAGUGUUUGCCCGAAAUAGAGGAUAAGCUGCAAACAUGGUGCCAAAAUAUUUUGAAAGAGGAGAAAGCUGAGCCUGAAUUGAGGGAUGGAUGCUACUUCAGCCCUCUGGCCACUGAUGUGAUCGAGUGUGUCCAUGGUGCUAUAAAGUUAGCACAGGAAGUGCUGGGCUCUUGUUCAAAGCCUCAGAGGAUCACACACCAGAUUAAAGAAUUCUUCAUUUAUUACCAGGAUUACCUUAAGAGCAUGACUGAGGGUAAUCAGGGGAACACUGACGCUGUACUGAAGGCCAACCUUUUGUGUAUCAGACAAUUCAGGGAAUACAUGACAAUGAAUCAAGAACUCUUUCCUGCACAUAUCAAGUCCGACUGUAUGAAUUUGCUGGUCAGCAUAAGAGAACUUUGCCAUGGCUAUUUCACCAAGUCUGUCCAGAAAGAUCUGAAGGGGACAUAUGCCAAACUGGGUACUAGUGAGUGGCUCAAACACAGUGAACAUGUGUGUGGUGAGCUGCUUGAAGGAGUGGACACACACAUUCAGAAACUCACUAACUUGGAUGAAACAUGCUUUAAGGACCUGCUCAGUCAUCUUCACAAAGAAGUGCUGGCAGAGUAUGUAAGGACACUGAUGAAGAAGAAGAUCAAACUUGGAGAUGAGAAGAUACAACAACAGGCAGCUGAAGCAUUAUGUGACAACAACCAGAGAAUACACAGCCUGUUUAUUGAAGCUGGGUCAAAAAUGGAUGACCUGGAAGACGUCCUGCCAAGACUUGCUGAAGUGCUGACACUGAAAGCUGUACACUUUAUUGAAUUUGAGCUUAUGAAUCUAUCCAAAAGCUACCCUGACUUCAGUGAAGCUCAUGUCUGUGCCUGGCUGCAUCUCAAGGCGACCCUCUCUACCUCAGAGCUCAGAAUGAUCAGGAAGACUUUCUCAGAGUUAAGGGAGCUAAACACACCAAAAGAAAUUGAUAAUCAGGAGCUGGAUCCGCUCUACUCAAGCAGAGAUUUCUUCUCUAAAGUGCUUGUGUAACAGGCCUUUGUUAUGCUGCACAACAGUCCCUCAUCCACAUGUUGAGUUGUAUUUAAAAUGUUUUAUGAAAUGCACUGUAGAUCUAUUUAAUUUCAUAUCAUUGUUAAUGCAUUACAAUGCUUUGUUUUUUCAAUGCUGUUUUUUAAAUUUUUUGGUAAUAAUACGCAUUAAUAUAAAUAUUUUUACAUAAAUGUCUGUGUGUAAUACUUGCAUUUGCCUUUUUGCAGGGUCAUUCUGGUAUUCAUUUGGACUGAACCAGAAGCCUGCAGUAUAGAAAUCACAGGAAAGACACUACUUCUGUUACAAACAAGGGCUGAUUUCUUAUUUGUGAUGCUGCUUCCAGCACAGCUACAAAGUCUCUUCCCUAAAUGAUUUACACAUCCAGGAAGAGAAGGAUUUUGUAGAGUAGGUGUUUAAAUAACACAAGAUACUUUCUGUAGAAUUCAAAACAACUUGAAGUGGAACUGGCAGUAGCAGUUAACCCGUUUACGUGGUUGAUUGCAGUGGGUGGAAAUCAUGAUAUACGUUGUUUGUGUAUUUCAUAUACAAAACUGAAUUUACUUUCGAAGUGAUUUAACAUCAUUGAACAUCGAGACACAGAGAAGCUUCAUCACAGUGACACAGUUUAUAGAAGCAAAGGACAAGAAGCAAUUAUUUCUCCUUAUGUUUUGUAGUUUAAUCACUGAAUAAAGUAUCAGUUCAUUAGAAGUGGUUGUCAGCUAAUGAACUUACACCUUCAUUAGGUAAUAAAACAAUAAAUCUUUUAACAAUUUUUAAUAAGUCAUAGUGCAAUCUCAGUUACAAACCCUGCCUCCUCAACAUGUGGCUUUUCAGCUUCAUUUUACAUGACCAUUUUUUCUCAUUCUUUGUUUCUGCAGUGCUCCGGACAGCGUCUCGCCAGCAUCAGCUCUCCUCUGGAUCACAGAAAGCACCCCCCUCUCAGGCUGAUAAUGCAUUCCUGAUGAAUUUUGUUCUCUCCAGAGUUUCUAGAAGAUUUUAAAGAGUAUUUCGUAAUGCGCAGUUCCAGGACUGGACACCAGGGGCCCCUGUCCCCAGUCACAUUCACUCCCGACAGUCCCAAUACUGGCAAUCAGAAGUCCCAAUUACCAGAAUACUUACCUGUUUCU